rnacentral:rRNA from 1 species
CCUUAACACAUGCAAGUCGAACGAUGAAGCCGCUUCGGUGGUGGAUUAGUGGCGAACGGGUGAGUAACACGUGGGCAAUCUGCCCUUCACUCUGGGACAAGCCCUGGAAACGGGGUCUAAUACCGGAUAACACUCUGUCCCGCAUGGGACGGGGUUGAAAGCUCCGGCGGUGAAGGAUGAGCCCGCGGCCUAUCAGCUUGUUGGUGGGGUAAUGGCCUACCAAGGCGACGACGGGUAGCCGGCCUGAGAGGGCGACCGGCCACACUGGGACUGAGACACGGCCCAGACUCCUACGGGAGGCAGCAGUGGGGAAUAUUGCACAAUGGGCGCAAGCCUGAUGCAGCGACGCCGCGUGAGGGAUGACGGCCUUCGGGUUGUAAACCUCUUUCAGCAGGGAAGAAGCGCAAGUGACGGUACCUGCAGAAGAAGCGCCGGCUAACUACGUGCCAGCAGCCGCGGUAAUACGUAGGCGCAAGCGUUGUCCGGAAUUAUUGGGCGUAAAGAGCUCGUAUGCGGCUUGUCACGUCGGAUGUGAAAGCCCGGGCUUAACCCGGGUCUGCAUCCAUACGGGCUAACUAAGUGUGUAGGGAGAUCGGAAUUCUGGUGUAUCGUGAAUGCCAGAUUCAGAGGACACGGUGGCGAAGCGACUCUGGGCAUUAUGACCUNAGAGCAANCUUGGGACGACAGAUAAUACUGUAUC